UGUAUUUUUAGUAGAGACAGGGUUUCACCACGUUGGCCAGGCUGGUCUGAAACACCCGACCUCAGGUGAUCCACCCGUCUUGGCCUCCCCAAGUGCUAGGAUUACACGUGUAAGCCAUCGUGCCCGGCCAGGGUAGCUCCUUUUUUACGGGCACACUUCCCAUCUGACCUGUCAAGGUAACAAAUUCCCUAGCCCUCGUCCACCCAGCUGGUAUUUCCAGAUCUUUAUAUUAGAAUGUGGCUGUGCCUCUAGGCUAGGGGAUAUAAGAGAAACAAAUAAAUGUAUUUCCUUAUUCUUAUCCAAGUGGUGGUCUAGCCUCCUUUUGUGAUAUUUAUUUACCUUUUUACAUUAUAAACAAUUUAAAAGCAAGAAUAUGCUUUACCUAAUUUUGUAUGUUCUAUAGUGCCCACACCAUAAUUUGAUAAAUAUUACAUAUUUUCUCAAUAUUCAUAGAAAACAUUAUAUACUAUUGUUUAGUUUAUGAUUAAACAUCAUUAUCUUCUCUGAUUUCUUGAUGAAUUAUUGAUUCCCCUACCGUCUGAGUCAGAUCCAGCUAAAUUCUGCAGAAGCACGUUUUGCUGCAGAAACUUUUUCGGCAAUGGCAAUCUUAAAGCAGUUUCCUUUUUAGAAUUUGAGCUUUCAAAUUUGCUUCAUAUGUUGUCCAAUUACAUUAACCAAAUAAUCUUAAAUUAGUUUAAUCAAGCCUCAAAUAAAAGACUUUUGCUAAGUGUCAGAAUUUGGAAUUAAAAACAGCAGAGCACAGCCCAUUCAACAAAUGCCUUGGGUUUUCUAGUUAAUCUAGCAUAUAAACAUUGAGCAUGAAAACUACUAAAUCUGAAGAGACCUUUAGCAACCCUUUAACACUAAAAGGGCCUUAUUUCGUGGAUCUUCAUUUUAAAAAUUUCUGUAUUUGGAGUUAUGUGAUUGUUACUGUAUCCAAACUUAUAUUUGUCCUUGGUUUAUAUUUAUUUACAGAAUUCUUAUUUGAAAGAUAAAAGGUAUUAAACUGUACCAGAGCCAUUGUUUUUUUCCUGUCAGGAAUUGCAGAAUUUUAAAUAGCCUCAUUUCCGUUUUUGUGAUCUGUGUUCACACCGCUAGUAAUAAUGAAGUAGAAAACUACUCUUUUUGUACCUUAUUGCUAAUCUCCAGAGUUUUCUUUUACCUUACCCCAAUAGUUUGUGUAGUACACAUUCCUUGUAGGGUAUUCAUUUUAUAUACGUCAGAUUCUCUAGGGCCGUGGCUUUUGCCAGAUGAAGCACUUUUGAUUUUGAGGCUGAUGAAACACAGUGCGGUUAUUGAUCUGUGCGUGACAUAGCCUGUCUCUCUCCUAGCAGAGUGUAGCAACAUUUAUCCAGGAAUUUGUGAAAUGUCACUCGGAUCAUGUUCGCAAGGCAAACUGUGCAAAACCCAGGAUCAGAGCUGAGAAUCCAUGUGGAAUUGGACGUGACUGUCUUAUUCCUAUGUCCUGUCUUCUAUUCUAGAUGAAGCAAGUGGUAUUUGUUAACAGAAUAUCUGUGUCCUAUAUUAGACUUUGUAGGAAACUAUUAUUACCACUUGGAACACUGUAUACUAUAAAAUUGCACUUCUUAUACUCUGUUUUCAGAUUCAUUUCUUAUCUUACCAAAGAAAAUAUUAAUAUGAGAAUAUGUGACCUGAAUAGCAUCAGUUAGAAAUUUCUUUUCUGUUUAAAAUAAAGCAGUGUUAUAAUAUAUUG
rnacentral:lncRNA from 10 species